rnacentral:misc_RNA from 1 species
GAUGAAGAACGCAGCGAAAUGCGAUAAUUAAUGUGAAUUGCAGAAUUCAGUGAAUCAUCGAAUCUUUGAACGCACAUUGCGCCCCUUGGUAUUCCAUGGGGCAUGCCUGUUCGAGCGUCAUUUGUACCUUCAAGCUCUGCUUGGUGUUGGGUGUUUGUCUCGCCUCUGCGUGUAGACUCGCCUCAAAACAAUUGGCAGCCGGCGUAUUGAUUUCGGAGCGCAGUACAUCUCGCGCUUUGCACUCAUAACGACGACGUCCAAAAGUACAUUUUUACACUCUUGACCUCGGAUCAGGUAGGGAUACCCGCUGAACUUAAGCAUAUCAAUAAGCGGAGGA